rnacentral:rRNA from 1 species
GGGUGGUAAUGCCGGAUGCUUCGUCAUGGGGCAUGGUCCUGCGGGAAAGAUUCUCUCGGUAUGGGAUGGGGUCGCGUCCUAUCAGGUAGUCGGCGGGGUAACGGCCCCCCGAGCCUUCGACGGGUAGCCGGCCUGAGAGGGCGACCGGCCACAUUGGGACUGAGAUACGGCCCAGACUCCUACGGGAGGCAGCAGUGGGGAAUAUUGCACAAUGGGCGCAAGCCUGAUGCAGCGACGCCGCGUGCGGGAUGACGGCCUUCGGGUUGUAAACCGCUUUUGACUGGGAGCAAGCCCUUCGGGGUGAGUGUACCUUUCGAAUAAGCACCGGCUAACUACGUGCCAGCAGCCGCGGUAAU